rnacentral:rRNA from 1 species
AUUGAACGCUGGCGGCAGGCCUAACACAUGCAAGUCGAGCGGAUGAAGGGAGCUUGCUCCUGGAUUCAGCGGCGGACGGGUGAGUAAUGCCUAGGAAUCUGCCUGGUAGUGGGGGAUAACGUCCGGAAACGGGCGCUAAUACCGCAUACGUCCUGAGAGAGAAAGGGGGGGAUCUUCGGACCUCACGCUAUCAGAUGAGCCUAGGUCGGAUUAGCUAGUUGGUGGGGUAAAGGCCUACCAAGGCGACGAUCCGUAACUGGUCUGAGAGGAUGAUCAGUCACACUGGAACUGAGACACGGUCCAGACUCCUACGGGAGGCAGCAGUGGGGAAUAUUGGACAAUGGGCGAAAGCCUGAUCCAGCAAUGCCGCGUGUGUGAAGAAGGUCUUCGGAUUGUAAAGCACUUUAAGUUGGGAGGAAGGGCAGUAAGUUAAUACCUUGCUGUUUUGACGUUACCAACAGAAUAAGCACCGGCUAACUUCGUG